CAGAGCUGUGGAGUGUGACAAUGGUGUUUGUGUGCAAACUGUCAAACGCCAUUAUCACACUAAAUAGCUACUGU
rnacentral:pre_miRNA from 10 species